CUGAUGAGGUUCACCUGUUGAUGUGACGCACAACAGGGACGGAGAAUUGAAGAGAGUACUGGGCGAGGACACAGUGCCGUUCUGGGAGGAAAUCACUUGCAGCCAAAGAGAAGGUGUUUAUCCUGAGGAAAACCUACCUUUUAAAAAUGAGACUGAACUGAAAACCUGUCACUGAGCUGCCUGGCCAAGGAGGAAAAAGAGAUGAGAAGCAGCCAAGAAAAAUAUGGAGGUCCAGCUCUGCCAAGAACUGCCAGAUCACUUGCAAGUCAAAAUCUUGUCAAUAGCAAGGAAUGUCACUGGCUUUAAUCCUGUAGAUGUAUAUCCCUUUUAUUUCUUUCAUGACCGGCUUUGUCCUCUGACACAUUUUGCUCGAGCUAAAUUUGAUGACUCCCUCUCCGCUGCCACUUUCCUCUUGGAUGGACCCCUCGGGGUACAAGAGUGUCACGGACUGCUGCACCACCCCAUCCCGAUGUCCGUCGCCCCCAGCACAGUCGUAUGCCUUCUCCCCAACCCUGCAGUGCCGCUUUGCAGAGGCAGAUUAUACUUGAUGACUUCAUCUUAAUCACAUUGUUUCAUUUUCUUUUAUCAGUGCAGCCGUCAUGCUACACUGACUGCAAAAUACUCCAUAAGUGGGUUCACACAAGCCUCUUAUGCAUUCACAUGUAGGGGAGAGGAAUGCUCACAACCCAGAACUGCUUUUGAUUAAUUUGAAGGAAAAACUUUAAAGUCAAACUCUGCAUGAUUAAAUUACUUUUAAAUGGCUGUGACUUUUAAUCUUUAACCACAGAGGAUUUUCUACUUUAUGUUGGAGCAAAACAAACAGAAAAUGAACAAGUGUUAAAUAUUUGUGAAAACUAAUUUAUUUUUAUUUUUUUUAGCCUUUGUUUCAUAUUAUGUUGUGUGCUCUCACUUGGUCUAAUUGGAGAUAAGACAUUUAUCAUUCAUGUAGAUUAUGGUUUUAAUUAACUGUUAAGAUUCAAUAGGUCUUUAUUGCCAUGACAGGUCUGUUUGAGGAUCCAAACACGGGCAGAACGGUGACAAAAUGAAACACUCUGCGUUACAAAUGUGCACAAAACUUUCAGUAUUCUGUAAUUGUCAAAAAAGCACACUUUUGCAUUGUGGUGCUUUCAUUAAAUAAGAAAUGCAAUUAAACGUAAUUUCACAUAUUAAAAUGAUAAAACAAACGUAAAGCAUGAUCUCCAUGCUUUUGCUUAAAAUUCUAACAAUUGAAUACUUAUUGCUGUAUUAAGCUACCUGAUCCAUUUCUCAGUCCUACUUCAUGCAUCAUUGCACAAUUAA